UGUACCAUCUGGGGGAUGGACAUGCUUGAAGCUCUGACUCAAGGGGGGAGAAGGGGCAAGGGCAAUAUACGUAACCUUAACAUUUAUACCCCCAUAAUAUGCUGAAAUUAAAAAAUGCAGAUUUCCGGGACCUCUAGACCUGCCAAGUCAGCAUGUCUGGAGGUGGAGCCUGGGCACGUGCGUGUGUACCAAGCUUCUUGAGUGAGCCAGCCAUAAGCCCCUACAUAAGAACCAUGGUGCAGCGUAGAUUAAACAGGCUGGAUUAUCAGAAAGGCUUGAACCUGGCCUUGAAGGGUGAGCAAAAUUUGGAGGCAUCGUAGUGUUUCAGUUGGGGAGAAUGGCCUGAGGGCUUGCAGCAUGUAGGGGUCAGUGGCCGGUGAUGAUGAGGUCUUGGUGACCCGAGGAAGUGAGUGGAGCAGUGGGGACCUCAGGUGGGUGGAUCUAGACUUGCCAUGGUGCGGAAUGGGGAGCUACUGACCGUGUUCCAUUAGGACUGUGACACAGUGACAAUGGGAAGGAAGCUGUCUCAGGGGCACCCAGUGCUCCUUUCUUCCUCUUUGGCAGCUUCCUGAGCUGCUCCCCCUUGUCACAUUUCCCCCAGGGUUUCUCAAUUGUACAGUAAGAGCCUCCCGGGGGAGAUGGUAAACACCCAUGUGGGGCAACAUCCUCCAGUAACUGGAAGAGGCCCUGGGAGGCCGGCGGGCAGUGCACCUGGGGAGCGGAUAGAAUGGGGGGGGCAGGGCUCUCGGGUGGCCCCAGCUGCUGCUGCUGCUGCUCCGUGUCUCAGCAUCAUGAAAUACGCCUCCAGCCUGAAGGCCUGGCAGCGGGUGAGGGGCCAGGUCCCCCAGAGACUCUGGCGCUCACAGAGACUGGAAAUGAAGACCUCAACCAGGCCCAGGCAGGGAGGUACCUGCUGGAGGAUUAUCCCACUGAAGCCAUAACCAGGGUGACAGUGACAGAGCUCCAGAGGGAGGACUUGGGGCUGAACCAGUGCGUGAUCCACCGUCUUUUCAGGACCCCGUUGUCCCAUACCAUCAGACUCAGCUGGUACGGUGCAAAGAGAACCUGCUGGAGAAAGCGGGUAACUGAGCAUGUACCGUGUGCCGAGCCUUGGAUUUGUCAGUCUCCCUGCUGUGGAACAAGCACUGCUGUCCCCGCUGAGCAAGGGGACAUUCCGGAGGCUAAGUUAUUCACCGUGUCAUUCUGCAGGCCGGUGAGUUCGAGAGGCCACUGUGACCACAGAGUGUUGCUGUCCUGCUAG
rnacentral:lncRNA from 1 species